rnacentral:ncRNA from 1 species
AAGACAGUUGUUGAUGAAGGUGUGCAACAGGCUGUUGGAAAUAUUCUUGGUGACCCACCGAGUUUGUGAUGCGAAUAGCAGACUUAAUUAAGACUCCAUAAUUCGAAUGAGUACAUUUUCAGUUCUUUGACAAAGAUCAAAUUGGAAGGCAAGUUUGCUACCAGCAGCUACGGUAACUCCAGCUCCGAAAGCGUAUGUUAAAGCUAUCUCAGUUAAAAAUUGCGUAGUUGUGCCUGGGAUGUGCUGUCAUAUGCCGUUACCUGUUCUCAGGUUUGAUUACAACCAGAAUUUUGAGUUACCUUUGUAGUGGUGACUGUGAAGUCUUUCAGCCGUUUCUGUGUAGGUGGAUGCUGACGAAUAUGAGUGGAUUUUUCUUGUCUGCAAUCUUUUGGUGUGCUUUCGGGUGCCUUUAACAGGUGUUGGGAGCGUUGACAGCAUCUCUACUUUGAAGAAAUCUAAAUGUUCAUGACAAGCCUUUGCGCCUAAAAAUUCUUCCAGAAAAUAAUGUAAUAAAACUCCAUAUUGUUCCAUAUUGUUGGUUCAUAGAUCUGAAUUAAGCGUUAAGAGGAAACGACGGGUUGUUAGAGGUCAAACACUGAGAUCACCUUAGACAAACUACAACAAAAGCAUUUACCAAGCAUGCAUUUUUUAUUAGGAGGGAGCUUUAGAGUUCCGAAGGAGAUCAGGUACGAGUUCGUCUGCUUCAAAGUGCCCCUAAAAAUCGUUUCUGAUAAACCUAUAAAGAAAGUAUCAAAGAUCAAGU